ensembl:lncRNA
UCUGAGUGUGUUUUGUGUGGAGAGUGAAGCGUGAACACAGUGACAGUGACGGUUAAUGUGUUUGAUUAGGAGGACAUUAGAGCAAAGACACAUUUUAGGAUCAAACGUUGAUGCCUAGUGUACCUGUGGACCUUUGCCCUAGGAGUGGCGACCCUCCUGUCCAGGGACGCUUGGCCAGGACCGGCGGCGUCCGGGUGCCGAGGUGGUGACUUGGGGAGGCUGCUUUGCCGGCCCUGAAAGCCGAGGCUGACUGGACUCCUGCUCUCCCCCAUACGUGACACUGACCAAAUGCUGCAACAGCUGGACCCACAACAACGACCUGAGAAUGUCCACAGACCUGCAGGAAUGUGAUCUCAUGCAGCCGAGACGGAGAGCACUAAACCUAAGGCCCGUUUCACUACACGGGGGAAAAUUCCCAGACUGCGUCAGCUGACAGAGCUGUGACGAGACGCCCGCCAAGCCCGAAUGAAAAGUAAGGCCGAGCGAAAGAAUGCUGACCUUGAUAACUUUGCAUUCACACUGUGCAGGACAGUGAUGGACCAACACGGAUGAUCGGGUGGCGAAAAAGGGCGUGACCGAGACAAGAGGAGUAACUGAGGACAGAAGGCACCUCAGAAUGGACAAAAACACAGAAGAAGAUGCAGGUUUCACCUGCGGUGAACAUCGACACUGGAGAAAGGACUGCCCCAAUUGGGGUCAGAACCAGGACGGACUGAAUUUUGAGCAGCAGCAGCAAUGGUCGCAAACAAACUGAAAAAGGAGGGGGGGGCAGGACCCCAGGGCACGCUUCAGGCCGUGGUUUACCCAGAACACCAGAACAGGAAAGUGAUGAACACACACACACACACACACACACACACACACACACACGGGAAUGUUGAUUCACUGAGAAGUGAUGCACACACAUACACAUGCACACGCUUGUGCAAUAAAGAGUGAUCCACACGCACACACACAUACACGCUGAUGCAAUGAAGAAUGCUUUGCUUAUGCUGAUAUGCAAAAUGCUGCACACAAACAUCCCAAUGCAUAAUUUUUAUGAGGAGCCAUUGAUUUCCAUUGAUUACCAUUGAUUACUUAGAAUGUGUUAUAUGUCACCUAGAAGGCAUUUAUGUAGAUUUUAGGAAUAAGCUCUAAAACGGUUUGGUUAUGAAAACAAUGUCUGUGCGUGAUGUCUGUUUAUGGCUCAAGGCCUUGACUGAAUUCUUUGCUGUGCUUCACACAGCCCUGAUGAGGAACAGUGGCACAGAGUGAAAAUGAUGAAUUAAUAGUGUAAGUUUUAGGUCGGAGUACGGCAUUUUCUGUGAUUGAGUUUUAAUUCAAGGAGGAACAAAAGGUGUUACGGCACCUGAGGUUCUCAUUCCCACACAAUAUUGUCCCGGCAGGAAGCAAAAUGUUCCUGUGAAUUUCUGGUUGAUUGUUUGGUUUUGUUUAGCGCUAGCUUGAUUUUAUCAGUGAGCUUUGGCUUGUGUUCUUUCUCGUAAGCGAGAGAGGGAUAGUUUUAUGCUUGGACAUGUCUGCAACGGGCCCUAGUUUGUGUUAUUUUAGUAGUAUUUUGUUGGUUAUGUCUGUUUUCAUUUUUGUUACAGUGCACUGGAGAAAAAACAUCUGAGAGGUGUGAUCCACCGGUGGUGAUAUGUUGAUAUUUUGUGAGUUCAUGAUUUAACAAUCAGCUCUUUAAACCAGGCCUGAAAGAUUGAAAUUUAAAGCGCUAUAAAAUAUUAUUACUGUAAACAGUUGCAAAGUGUGCUUCUCCAUGAUUGUAAUUGGCUUGGGAGAAAUUCACUUAUAGGAAACACUGAGAAGUUCUGAGUCUAAAAGGAUUGCACCGAGUCAAUCCGGCCCAAAAAAACAACAAGGAAUUGUUUUCCUUUAAAAUGAUGACGUCAUCUUGCUGGUGAUGGAUGCUCGAAUAGGUUGCGCGGGAGACUCCAUUAUCAGCAACAUCUGGUAUGAAUGUGUAUGGAGGUAUGCAUGCGAAUGAACUGUGAUGGACUGACGAUUAAAAGUUUUAACUGACUUGAUACUGAGACAAUGACUGCACCCACUUUAGGAUUAGUAAAUGCCAAUAAACAAUUCAUAAACAAUUCACCCAGCCGACAAGAGAAGGGUGGAUGCUUCGCUUUGUUUUGUUUUGUUUUUUCAGGAGCAGGAGGAUAAGAGAGACUGGAGGAGGAGACUCUAGCUUCACAUAAGUAUGAACUGCAGACUUAACACUGUGGUUGCUGAUUUUGAGUUACUGAUGUUUGCAUUAAGAAAACUGUGCUAUAUUAGCUGUGUUUUGAUUAAGGUAUCAUGUUAUAUUAUUGGGAAUGCCAAAUGCUACAGUGGAGAAGACUUUUUGAUACCACUCAUGACAGGAAUAUGUUAUUAUUAACCACAGCAGGCCACUGUAAAAAAGUCAAUUAAAUUUUAUAGAGGAAAAUCGCCAAAACCUUAACAAUACCUAUGAAUGACUUGCCACAUUCAGAAUAGAGAUAUGCAAUAAUAAACAUUGGUCCACGUGAUUUAGGUUCUCACUUGAAAUAGUAAGUUAUUAAAUGUAGAAUAUAAUCGACAGGGACAUUUGAUAGGAUGUGGUACUGCAAAAGAACAAGAGCAAAGUAAAUAAAGAAAAUAUUGUGUUUAGUUUGGAUAUUUUCAAAUUAAAAUGUACCAUUACACUCAGAGGAUCAAUAUGAAAUAAAACAUAUGCAAAAUUUGUAGGAAGUACAUGACUGAUAACUGUUCUGUCCUGAGCGUUUGUUUCUAGAGCACCCACUUGACCACACCAACAGUUUCUCGCCACCGAGGAGGGGUACUUGCAAAAAGAAUAAAAUAAAAAUCUGAGUUUAACAAAACAUUUUAAAUGUAAAUAUCAAGCUUACCUUUCUUUUUCCAUGAAAUGUGCUUGUGGGCACGCCAGCCAUUUUGAAAAGGUGGGCAAAACAAUUGGCAAGGCCACACCCCCACACAUGUGACAUAAUUUUAAAGGUACUGUUGUCCCCUCUAAGAAACAUCAGGACUUAGAGGAGUGGCAAGUAGAGUAUGAGAGCUACAAGCAAAAAACUAAAUGUGUACUACAGUGCGCAAAAAUGAAUUACUGGGUCAUCAGGGGGUCUUGAGGGACAUUUAUAAAACAAAAAAUCCCACAAACCUUAAAAGUGCACUUGAAAAGCUCACACAAGAAGGUUAACCUAGCUUACCUAGAAGACCUCAUCAGGGGGAGCACGCUCCCCCUCGUUGAAGAGCUCACCCACUUAACUCGCAUCCCAAGAAAAUAGCUAACCCCAGAUAAGGCAGCGUGAUGUAUCCCGAGAUAACAGGACUGGGACAUCUAAAUAAAGGUGUGAAACAAUCGCCUUCAAAAGGUUAUCAAUUAACUUUAACCAAAAUUAGGAACACUCGGUGCGGCAAGAGUUAAUAGUUAUUAGUCUCAACACCCAAGGAUAAUUAGAAGAGCAUGACUGAUAUGAUGGAACGGAGAUUUUGUUACACUUAACUUUUGCAAAACACAAAUAGAACUAAAUUGAAACUAAGGAUUUUCAGAAAAUAAAAACUAGACUAAACUAGCAAAGAAUUGGUAAAAACUAAUUACAACUGGCAAAAAAUUGAAAAUCUGGAGUCGAAACUAAAUAAAAAAUAAAACCUAAUGAAAAUGGCGAAACGUUUAAAACUCUGGUGCAGAGAUUGGCAAAUCUGACCAGGAACGUUAUAAAAUGGAUUGUCAGAACAGUCAGCGUUAAAGCCACAUUUGACAGUCCAUACUAGGAUGGCAUUGGACAUCUUGGGGGUGGAAAGGGGUUGGUGUGACCAAGGUGUGGUUUGGCUUGUCGUAUGUAUAUUUGAGAUCAUAUGGCUCUGGAUGGACCAGUUACCAGGGCAUGGAAGGAGGACAGACUCAUUAAAGGAGGAGAAGGAACUUGCUGGGAUUGGAGAUCCUCUGGGUGAGUGGUUGAUUAAAAGCAUGCAUAAAAUAGAAGUUAUCUGUUGUUAUUGAUUGGUAAUAGAUUGAUAAUUGGCCACAUUUACAGCUGUAUUGACUUGUUGUGGACGUAGUCGACUUCAGGUUUAAACACUCUAAUUAACAGGGUGAAAAUAGUGACAUUAAAGGAAGAGUAUGCAGCACCACCCUGUC